AAAGAUUUCUAACGUGCAUCAUCCUCAAUUUGUCUCUAUAAAUACUAUAUAACCCCAAUUUAGGCCAAGACCAUGCUCGCUUCCGAUCAUUUGGGUAAAAAAAAAUGAUCAGGGAUGAAAUUUAAAAAAUAAUCCCAAACUCAAUAUUUCUUUAACUGAGGUUGGUGUUUUUUUUAUAGUUUUUUAUUUUUAUAGAGAUUUUUUGAAAUUAUUAUUUU
rnacentral:misc_RNA from 1 species